rnacentral:lncRNA from 1 species
CUAAGCUCCCAGAGCUAUAAAUCUCUAGCUUCUAAAGCCUUAGCCAUAAGCCUCAGGGCUUGGCUCUAUAAGCCUCUGAGCCUGCGAACCCAGUCCAUAAGCCUUUGGCACUUGAGCCUGGCCCUGCCAACCUGGAAGAGCCACUCCUUAACUAUCAGAAGUCUACACAAAUAGAACAAGAGGACCCUAGGCAGCUGAUGAUAGCAGGCCCUGACUGUUUCAGUGUCUUUAACUUCUCGUCUUUCUCUUGCCCUACAGAUCUCGUCCAUUCGUCUGCUUUUAGAGAUAGCAAACCUUGCACUCACCGCUCCUGUACCCAGACUGCCUCUGUGUGGACUCUUGGACUGCUUGUGCCCCUCCCCCACACAGCCCAGUGGCCAGGAUUCCUGCCUAACUAUAUCCCAAGAAUUGAGCCUAGGACUCUCUUUGGUCUGCUCUGGCUCAUAAAAGCCAAGACGAGGUGUACCUUUGAUAUAUGUAUCCACGUAAUUGAUAAAACGGGAAAGAUCAGAGGAUGGAGUUUGGAGAGUACAAGACAGGUUCCUGUGAACCAGGCGGGUUCAGGAAUCAGUCGCAUCACUUCUUUCAGGAAGCAGUUCUUCCAACUUCCCUCCUCCCAGGCCACCAUCUCUGAGGAUAACACAACCCUGAAUGUGGUCCAUGGUGCUUCAUGGGUGCUCUGCAGGCACUCUCCUCCACUAGACUAUAAGCUUGUUUCCAAGUGGUGGCACAUAAUAGGUGCUCAAUAAAUGUUGGCACCAUGAGGAAAUG